GACGAACGCUGGCGGCGUGCUUAACACAUGCAAGUCGAACGGAAAGGCCCUGCUUUUGUGGGGUUCUCGAGUGGCGAACGGGUGAGUAACACGUGAGUAACCUGCCCUUGACUUUGGGAUAACUUCAGGAAACUGGGGCUAAUACCGGAUAGGAGCUCCUGCUGCAUGGUGGGGGUUGGAAAGUUUCGGGGGUUGGGGAUGGACUCGCGGCUUAUCAGCUUGUUUGUGGGGUAGUGGCUUACCAAGGGUUUGACGGGUAGGCGGCCUGGGAGGGUGACCGGCGACAAGAGGAGGGGGGGAAGGACCAGAAGGCAAGGGGGGGGAACAGGGGGGAAGAUUAGACAAAGGGGGGAAGGGUGAUGAAAAAAAGGCGGGGGGGGGAAGAGGGGCUUGGGGGUGGAAAACGAAUUAGGCUGAGACGAAGAGUGAGUGACGGUAAUGGGAAAAGAAGCAACGGCUAACUACGUG
rnacentral:rRNA from 1 species